ACUCGACAAAGGCACAACCGGCGAAAGCCGGCGUCGCAAAGCUCCCGGGUACCGGCCCAGCGCGCCGGCACGGCCGAGCUACCGAG
rnacentral:ncRNA from 1 species